ensembl:lncRNA
AUGGUGGGGCCUCACCUCUUCACCUCCACCCCCAGCCCCACCCACUGCCUCCAAGUCCUGGGAGUGUGUUUGAGAAAUUGCCCCAGUAGACCACCUCUAAGGGACUUGUCUUCUACCUCUUCUGCCAGCACUAUUCAAAAUGAUGUCUCUGGGACCCUCCCUGGUGGUCCAGUAGGUAAGAAUCUGCCUGCUGGUGUGGGUGAUGCAGGUUGGAUCCCUGGUCCGGGAAGAUCCCUCAGGCCACAGGGCAACUAAGUCUGGGUACCACACCUACUGAGUCCUCAUGCGCUGGAGCCCGCGCUCCCCAUCUAGAGAAGCCCCUGCAACGAGAAGCCGGCGCGCAGUGGUGAAGACCCAGCACAGCCAAAACUAUUUAAAAAAGUUAAAAUAACGUCUGUGGCCUUAUAGCACCAGCAGUGCUGCGAUACUUUAUUAGAAAUUCAGACCCAGGGAAUCUGGAUCAGGCCACACCUGUGCUCUUUGAAGUUCAAGGCAUCCUGAGCUGGGAACUCUUUCCCACCCAUGGCUGGGGUGAGCCUGCUGAUGAGACCCCAAAGGACUGGAAAGAACAUGGACCCCAUUCCUACAUCCCCUCUGCCUUUUCAAUUUUUUGGGAGGGUGGGGUGGGGAGGUGGGGAUGAGGGUGAGGCAUGACCUGCAGUUCCCCCUUAAUUCUGAUCUCUCUUGACUGGGGUGAGAGUCUUGGCAGGGAAACGGGUCCCAGCACAGUUGGUCGUCAACACUCAGGCCUGCAGAUCUCAUAUCUUCCAGCAGCGGAUGUAAGCAAGGCUGAAGGCCCCGUGUCUUUAAUGAAAUGAAUCCCCGUAGCUGGGAAUAUGGAGGUGGAAGUCAUUUGUUAAGCACACAGCAGGUGCUCAAUAAAUAUGUUGAGUAAGUGAAUACAAGACCUGGAGGCUUCCCUCACGGUUCAGUGGUGCAGAGUCCAUCUGCCAAUCCAGGAGACACGGUUGGAUCCUUGACCUGGGAAGAUCCCACAUGCCUCGGAGCAGCUAAGCCCCUGUGCUACCGACUGAGCCUGACUCCACAGCCUGGGAGCCACCCACACAGCUUCUGAAGCCCGCUGCCCCAGGGCCUCUUUCCACAAGAGAAGCCUGCGCACCACAGCUAGAGAAAAGCCCGGGCGGGGGGCGGGGGCGGGGGGGCACCCAGCAGAGCCAAAAAUAAAUAAAAAUGUUGCAACAAGAAAAAUGAAAGCAAGACUUGAACCCCGCCCCCCCCCCCCCAAAUCUUCUCUGUGAAAAGGGCCUCGCGCACCGCCUGAUCUUGGAGGGUAGAGGCAUUGGAAGUCUGUCUCUACCCCUUCAGCAACCUCAGUUUCCUCACUAGAGCACCACGUGAGGUCCAGAGGUCUCAACGAUCCCCUCUGAAGUCAACUUUCUGCGUGACGCGGGCCUGCCAAGCAGCCCCCACACAUGGUCCCCCCACGCUCCAGCCUGUAGACACCGGGCCCGCGUCCUCUGUUCACCUAGAAGUCUUGCCCCUUGGAGGCGAGUCCAGUGCGUUGUGGUCCCCGGCGCUGCUCAGGUGUCCUCAGCGUUGC